GAAGAAUGAAUCAGUUUCAGAAAAGAAGACCACUGAUGAGGUGCCUGAAAAGCCAGAUCUUCCCAAGGAACUUUCAGAUUUAGCAAGAGAAGCUUCUAAAUCAAAGCAUGAAACUGUGACAAUGGAAAAAUCUGUAGCACAGACUGAACAACAGGAAGAUGC